AAUGCAAGUUGCACCCGAGGCCUCGGCCGAGGGCAUGCCUACUUGGAUGCUAUACUCAACAAAUCACCCUCCCCAGGAGGAGCAGAGAUGGCCAUUCAUACCCACCCGUGACACGGUUGGCUAAAAAGCGCAUGAUCCCAUUCGCCAUUGUCAAGAUGAGCGAUGGACCCUACGGAUCGGUGUUGGUUGGUAUUUGGCGCAUGUCUACAUGUGGAACUUCAUCUCGGUGCAGGAAGCUUGAAUCUCUGUGCAUCCAUCGGCCAUACUUGCAUCCGCAAGUAGGUGUGAUUACCCACUGAGUUUAA
rnacentral:misc_RNA from 1 species